rfam:Otolemur garnettii contig085616, whole genome shotgun sequence.
GCCGGGCGUGAUGGCACAUGUCUGUAGUCAGCUACUUGGGAGGAUGAGACAGGAGGAUCGCUUGAGUCUAGGAGUUCUGGGCUGUAGUGCGCUAGGCCGAUCAGGUGUAUGCAUUAAGUUUGGCAUCAGUAUGGUGAUCUCCCGGGAGUGGGGAGCCACCAGGUUGCCUAAGGAGGGGUGAACUGGCCUAGGUCGGAAACGGAGCAGGUCAAAACUCCCGUGCUGAUCAGUAGUGGGACUGCACCUAUGAAUAGCAACUGCACUCCAGCCUAGGCAACAUAGUAAGACCCCUAUCUCA